GAUGAACGCUGGCGGCGUGCCUAAUACAUGCAAGUCGAGCGAACAGACGAGGAGCUUGCUCCUCUGACGUUAGCGGCGGACGGGUGAGUAACACGUGGAUAACCUACCUAUAAGACUGGGAUAACUUCGGGAAACCGGAGCUAAUACCGGAUAAUAUAUUGAACCGCAUGGUUCAAUAGUGAAAGACGGUUUUGCUGUCACUUAUAGAUGGAUCCGCGCCGCAUUAGCUAGUUGGUAAGGUAACGGCUUACCAAGGCAACGAUGCGUAGCCGACCUGAGAGGGUGAUCGGCCACCCUGGAACGGAGACACGGUCCAGACUCCUACGGGAGGCAGCAGUAGGGAAUCUGCCGCAAUGGGCGAAAGCCUGACGGAGCAACGCCGCGUGAGUGAUGAAGGUCUUCGGAUCGUAAAACUCUGUUAUUAGGGAAGAACAAAUGUGUAAGUAACUAUGCACGUCUUGACGGUACCUAAUCAGAAAGCCACGGCUAACUACGUG
rnacentral:rRNA from 1 species